GUGGGGAAUAUUGGACAAUGGGGGGAACCCUGAUCCAGCCAUGCCGCGUGUGUGAAGAAGGCCUUUUGGUUGUAAAGCACUUUAAGUGGGGAGGAGGCUUACCUGGUUAAUACCUGGGCUAAGUGGACGUUACCCACAGAAUAAGCACCGGCUAACUCUGUGCCAGCAGCCGCGGUAAUACAGAGGGUGCGAGCGUUAAUCGGAUUUACUGGGCGUAAAGCGCGCGUAGGUGGUUAAUUAAGUCAAAUGUGAAAUCCCCGAGCUUAACUUGGGAAUUGCAUUCGAUACUGGUUAGCUAGAGUAUGGGAGAGGAUGGUAGAAUUCCAGGUGUAGCGGUGAAAUGCGUAGAGAUCUGGAGGAAUACCGAUGGCGAAGGCAGCCAUCUGGCCUAAUACUGACACUGAGGUGCGAAAGCAUGGGGAGCAAACAGGAUUAGAUACCCGGGUAGUCC
rnacentral:rRNA from 1 species